rnacentral:rRNA from 1 species
CCUACGGGAGGCAGCAGUAGGGAAUCUUCCACAAUGGGCGAAAGCCUGAUGGAGCAACGCCGCGUGGGUGAAGAAGGUCUUCGGAUUGUAAAACUCUGUUGUUAGAGAAGAAAGUGCGUGAGAGUAACUGUUUACGUUUUGACGGUAUCUAAACAGAAAGCCACGGCGAACUACGUGCCCGCAGUCGCGGGGAUACGUAGGGGGCAAGCGUUAUUCGGUUGGAUUGGGGUUAAAGGGAACGGAGGCGGUCUUUUAAGGUUGAUGUGAAAGGCUUCGGCUUAACCGGAGUAGUGCAUUGGAAACUGGGAGACUUGAGUGCAGGAGAGGAGAGUGGAAUUCGAGGUGUAGCGGUGAAAUGCGUAGAUAUAAGGAAGAACACCGGUGGCGAAGGCGGCUCACUGGUCUGUAACUGACGCUGAGGUUCGAAAGCGUGGGUAGCAAACAGGAUUAGAUACCCGAGUAGUC